rnacentral:rRNA from 1 species
AAACCAACCGGGAUUGCCUUAGUAACGGCGAGUGAAGCGGCAAAAGCUCAAAUUUGAAAUCUAGUACCUUCGGUGCUCGAGUUGUAAUUUGUAGAGGGAUACUUUGGGGCCGUCUCUUAUCUAUGUUCCUUGGAACAGGACGUCAUAGAGGGUGAGAAUCCCGUAUGAUGAGAGUCGCGGUUCUUUGUAAAGUUCCUUCGAAGAGUCGAGUUGUUUGGGAAUGCAGCUCUAAGUGGGUGGUAAAUUCCAUCUAAAGCUAAAUAUUGGCGAGAGACCGAUAGCGAACAAGUACAGUGAUGGAAAGAUGAAAAGAACUUUGAAAAGAGAGUGAAAAAGUACGUGAAAUUGUUGAAAGGGAAGGGCAUUUGAUCAGACAUGGUGUUUUGCGCCCUCUGCUCCUUGUGGGUGGGGGAAUCUCGCAGCUCACUGGGCCAGCAUCAGUUUUGGCGGUAGGAUAAAUCCAUAGGAAUGUGGCUUGCUUCGGUAAGUGUUAUAGCCUGUGGGAAUACUGCCAGCCGGGACUGAGGACUGCGACAUUCGUCAAGGAUGCUGGC